UACGGGGGGAGCAAGCGUUGUUCGGAUUUACUGGGCGUAAAGGGCGCGUAGGCGGCGCAACAAGUCACUUGUGAAAUCUCCGGGCUUAACCCGGAGCGGUCAAGUGAUACUGUCGUGCUAGAGUGCGGAAGGGGCUACUGGAAUUCUCGGUGUAGCGGUGAAAUGCGUAGAUAUCGAGAGGGAACACCCUGCGGCGAAGGCGGGUAGCUGGGCCGACACUGACGCUGAUGCGCGAAAGCCAGGGGAGCGAACGGG
rnacentral:rRNA from 1 species